rnacentral:rRNA from 1 species
UACGGAGGGUGCGAGCGUUGUCCGGAAUCACUGGGCGUAAAGGGCGCGUAGGUGGCGUUCCAAGUCAACGGUGAAAGCUCGGGGCUCAACCCCGAGUCGGCCGUCGAUACUGGGAGGCUCGAGCACUGUAGAGGCAGAUGGAAUUCCGGGUGUAGCGGUGGAAUGCGUAGAGAUCCGGAAGAACACCGGUGGCGAAGGCGGUCUGCUGGGCAGUAGCUGACACUGAGGCGCGACAGCGUGGGGAGCAACAGG